GGGGCAUGCGAGGGCUGUCGCUGACUCAAAGUCGUGCACGCCCGAGUGUGUCGCCUCACAUAAUAAUCCAUCUCACCCUUUGUGCAUCACCGCGUGGGCACCCCUUUGGGAUCAUCUCGGAGGGGGCUCGCGUUUUCACACAAAACCCCCCUCUUAAAAGUGUAGAAUGACCUCAUUUAUGCGUUAACCCGCAAUCAAUACAACUUUCAACAACGGAUCUCUUGGCUCUCGCAUCGAUGAAGAACGCGGCGAAAUGCGAUACGUAAUGUGAAUUGCAGAAUUCAGUGAAUCAUCGAAUCUUUGAACGCACCUUGCGCCCCCUGGUAUUCCGAGGGGCACACCCGUUUGAGUGUCGUGAAAACCUCAACCUCCUUGGUUUCUUCUGGAGACCAAAGCAGGCUUGGACUUUGGAGGCCUUUGCUGGCACCUCUCGCCAGCUCCUCUUAAAUGAAUUAGCAGGGUCCUCUUUGCUGAUCCUCGACGUGUGAUAAGAUGUUUCCAUGUCUUNNUUCUGGCUCUGUCACCUUUGGGACCCGCUUCUAACCGUCUUCAACCUUGCGUUGAGACAACGUUCGAGCAUGUCUCCCUUCUCGGGAAGCUCCCUCGACCCCACGAACCCUUGA
rnacentral:rRNA from 1 species